UUUCCGUAGGUGAACCUGCGGAAGGAUCAUUACGAGUCGAGGGAGUGGGGGGAGAUUAGGAGCGGAUACCUCUUCUUUUCCCUCUCACUACCACAUUUGCACAGAGUCUUUUAGGCUCUGAUGUUUACGCAUGAAUGUUUGACAGAGUAAUGUUGCAAUCAUUUUAGACAACUUUUAACAAUGGAUCUCUUGGCUCUU
rnacentral:misc_RNA from 1 species